GCCGCGGGGGCCGGUCGUGCUCUGCCCGGCUCGGUCUGCGAGCACAGGGGCAGGAGCGAAGGGUCUCCUGCUUGGUGUGUUGGCCUGCCCGAGUGGCCCUGCCGCUGUUGCAAGCAGCUUGGAAAGGUGUACAGACAUAGGGGGGUCAGAUUUACGCAGUCUUGCCCAGGGACAAGUUUUCCAUGACACUGGAUUCAUCGCUCAGCUACAAUAUGUUCAUGAUGCUGCACGCUGGUUAUGUCAACAGUAUCAGCUCUUUCACUUAUGAUUACUUCAGGCAUUGUUAGCUCUAAUGGCUCAGCAAGAGCAGAAUGGUGGUUGAACAUACUUUUACAAGGAGCAAGGAUCUCUGGUUCAUAGGAAAUAAGACGCCUUGUGAGACAUUUGAACGCAGACCCUUAACUAGUUGCAGGGUCAGUCGUCAGAGAUGGGCAUUUGUCUAACCCUUUCCUAACGUGUGCUUAAGGCCUGGAUGAGGAGGAUGGCGCUGAGGCUGCGAACCAGGAGACCAGAACGCACCGACGGGUUUUAGACCACCCUGCGGGAGGAGGCGCUGGCCAUAGCCGCCGCAGGCAGACACGGGCCGGGUGCGGGCC
rnacentral:lncRNA from 1 species